GUAGGUGGCAAGCGUUGUCCGGAAUUAUUGGGCGUAAAGCGCGCGCAGGCGGUUCUUUAAGUCUGAUGUGAAAGCCCACGGCUCAACCGUGGAGGGUCAUUGGAAACUGGAGAACUUGAGUACAGAAGAGGAAAGCGGAAUUCCACGUGUAGCGGUGAAAUGCGUAGAGAUGUGGAGGAACACCAGUGGCGAAGGCGGCUUUCUGGUCUGUAACUGACGCUGAGGCGCGAAAGCGUGGGGGGGCAAACAGGGAUUAGAUACCCUGGUAGUCCACGCCGUAAACGAUGAGUGCUAAGUGUUAGGGGGGUUUCCGCCCCCUUAGUGCUGCAGCUAACGCAUUAAGCACUCCGCCUGGGGAUACGGCCGCAAGGCUG
rnacentral:rRNA from 1 species